rnacentral:rRNA from 1 species
CAGGGCUAAUGUCUUGUAAUUGGAAUGAUGGUGACCCAAACCCUCACCAGAGUAGCAAUUGGAGGGCAAGUCUGGUGCCAGCAGCCGCGGUAAUUCCAGCUCCAAUAGCGUAUAUUAAACUUGUUGCAGUUAAAAAGCUCGUAGUUGAAUUUUAGCGUGUUCGAGUUUGCCAUUCGUUUGGCUUUUUCGAGUUCGCUUUUGGGUUUUCCCUUUUUACUUUGAGAAAAUUAGAGUGUUUCAAGCAGACUUUUGUCUUGAAUACUUCAGCAUGGAAUAAUAGAGUAGGACUUUGGUUCUAUUUUGUUGGUUAUUGAACCU